rnacentral:rRNA from 1 species
UAGGGAAUCUUCGGCAAUGGACGAAAGUCUGACCGAGCAACGCCGCGUGAGUGAAGAAGGUUUUCGGAUCGUAAAACUCUGUUGUUAGAGAAGAACAAGGACGUUAGUAACUGAACGUCCCCUGACGGUAUCUAACCAGAAAGCCACGGCUAACUACGUGCCAGCAGCCGCGGUAAUACGUAGGUGGCAAGCGUUGUCCGGAUUUAUUGAGCGUAAAGCGAGCGCAGGCGGUUUCUUAAGUCUGAUGUGAAAGCCCCCGGCUCAACCGGGGAGGGUCAUUGGAAACUGGGAGACUUGAGUGCAGAAGAGGAGAGUGGAAUUCCAUGUGUAGCGGUGAAAUGCGUAGAUAUAUGGAGGAACACCAGUGGCGAAGGCGGCUCUCUGGUCUGUAACUGACGCUGAGGCGCGAAAGCGUGGGGAGCAAACAGG